rnacentral:rRNA from 1 species
AUUGAACGCUGGCGGCAUGCCUUACACAUGCAAGUCGAACGGCAGCACGGGUGCUUGCACCUGGUGGCGAGUGGCGAACGGGUGAGUAAUACAUCGGAACGUACCUUAUCGUGGGGGAUAACGCAGCGAAAGCUGUGCUAAUACCGCAUACGCCCUGAGGGGGAAAGCGGGGGAUCGCAAGACCUCGCGCGAUUAGAGCGGCCGAUGCCUGAUUAGCUUAUUGGUGGGGUAAAAGCCCACCAAGGCGACGAUCAGUAGCUGGUCUGAGAGGACGAUCAGCCACACUGGGACUGAGACACGGCCCAGACUCCUACGGGAGGCAGCAGUGGGGAAUUUUGGACAAGGGGCGCAACCCUGAUCCAGCAAUGCCGCGUGAGUGAAGAAGGCCUUCGGGUUGUAAAGCUCUUUUGUCAGGGAAGAAACACCGGCUCUAACACAGUCCGGGAAUGACGGUACCUGAAGAAUAAGCACCGGCUAACUACGUGCCAGCCGCCGCGGUAA